GACGAAUAUUGUAUUUCGUGUUUUAAAUUUCAUAUUUUUAUUUAACUAAAUGAUUCUCAAAAUUUAUUAUUUUCUUUUUUCAUAAUUUAUUGUAUUUAUUAAUUAAAACGAAUUUCAGGAAAAACGGAAAAAAAGCAAAAAAUCCCACGGGAAGGAUCUUGCUAGCGUAGGACGUGCGCAUUGUGCACACAUCCCGUCCGCGUGGGGCGUGAGGCGCGGUCUGCGCGUAGACAUGGGCAGUUUGCGCACGCAUCCCAUUGAGCACAGAUGGGCACGACUCUGUGCGCCCGCUGUCUACGCAGUAGACUUGCGCGGUAGGCCUACACCCAUGGACCUACACGCAGUAGACCUGCGCGCAAUGCCCUGCACGUUGUAGGGCCUGCGUACGACAGGCUAGGCCUGCAGUGCACUUCUAGCUUGGGCAGCGUGCAACUGCCUUGGACAGUGC
rnacentral:lncRNA from 1 species